rnacentral:rRNA from 1 species
CCUACGGGAGGCAGCAGUGGGGAAUCUUGCGCAAUGGGCGAAAGCCUGACGCAGCCAUGCCGCGUGAAUGAUGAAGGUCUUAGGAUUGUAAAAUUCUUUCACCGGGGACGAUAAUGACGGUACCCGGAGAAGAAGCCCCGGCUAACUUCGUGCCAGCAGCCGCGGUAAUACGAAGGGGGCUAGCGUUGCUCGGAAUUACUGGGCGUAAAGGGAGCGUAGGCGGAUAGUUUAGUCAGAGGUGAAAGCCCAGGGCUCAACCUUGGAAUUGCCUUUGAUACUGGCUAUCUUGAGUACGGAAGAGGUAUGUGGAACUCCGAGUGUAGAGGUGAAAUUCGUAGAUAUUCGGAAGAACACCAGUGGCGAAGGCGACAUACUGGUCCGUUACUGACGCUGAGGCUCGAAAGCGUGGGGAGCAAACAGGAUUAGAUACCCUGGUAGUCCACGCUGUAAACGAUGAGUGCUAGUUGUCGGCAUGCAUGCAUGUCGGUGACGCAGCUAACGCAUUAAGCACUCCGCCUGGGGAGUACGGUCGCAAGAUUAAAACUCAAAGGAAUUGACGG